rnacentral:ncRNA from 1 species
AAGUGAGGACGACCUCACCGCUCUCAUCACUAUCGGGGACGGCCCCA